rnacentral:rRNA from 1 species
CAAUAGCGUAUAUUAAAGUUGUUGCAGUUAAAAAGCUCGUAGUUGGAUUUCGGGGUGGCCUGGCUGGUCCGCCGCAAGGUGAGUACUGGUCAGCCGCCCUUCCUCUCGAAAGCCCCGACUGCUCUUUACUGCAGUGGUCGGGUAGUUCGGGACGUUUACUUUGAAAAAAUUAGAGUGUUCAAGGCAGGCUAUCGCCUGAAUACAUUAGCAUGGAAUAAUGGAAGAGGACCUCGGUCCUAUUUUGUUGGUUUCUAGGACCGAAGUAAUGAUUAAGAGGGACAGUUGGGGGCAUUCGUAUUUAAUUGUCAGAGGUGAAAUUCUUGGAUUUAUGAAAGACGAACUAGUGCGAAAGCAUUUGCCAAGGAUGUUUUCAUUAA